GUUAACUGUCAUAUCAUGUUGAAAAUACCAGUUCUCGUCCGAUCACUGCAGUCAAGCAACAUUGAGCACGGUUAGUGCUUUGAUGGGUGACUACUUGGGAAAACCGUGUAUACUGUUGGCA
rnacentral:rRNA from 1 species